AAAAUUAUAUUCCAUUUCUGCCAAUAGAUUGCCCUAAAUCCUACACACUAUUCAUUUAAAAACUAAGUUCAGC